GAGUGUACAGGGGAGGAGCUUCUGCAGCAUUAAGGCUUCCAGGGGAAGAAGUGUUGCUAAGGCGAUGAGGGGAGGAGCCAGGCUGGAUGAUGAUGUCAGCCCCGUGGUCAGUUCGAGCGGCGGCCUUUUCUCUGAAGGUGUGUGUUUCAGGUUUUCUGUAGAUCCGACCUUUGACUUCACGUUGCUAAGAUCAGGCAUUGGGUGAGAGGGGAGGGGAGGGGUCCGUCCACGAGCAGAGCCAGGAGACCUGGGAGGCGUCCGGACCACCGCCACCUGCAGAACCAAGUGACCAGGUGACCAAGUGACCAGUUGACCAGUUGAAGAUCGGCUGACAGGAGAACGACUUCCUGGACUGACGCCAUCUACUGACUCUGACAGACAGACAGGUGGAGAGAGAGACAGACGGGUGGAGAGAGAGACAGACCAGUGGAGAGAGAGACAGACAGGUGGAGAGAGAGACAGACAGACAGGCUCUGUGAUCAGACUGAUGGGAACAACUGGUCAGUUGGAGUGAACCAGACGUUGCGACACUCUCUCACAAUGGCUCUGGACUGGUACAGUGUUGUUACCUGUGCUCUUGGCCGACAUCAUCUUGGCUGCUCUGGCGCCUCCUGCUGUUCUGGAGGCCUGAAACAUUCACAGACAAUUAUUGUUGUCUUUAUUAUUGUUGUAGGAAACGUCCAUGUCUCAUGAGUGAAUCCUGAUGACAUCUUUCACACCCAGAGGAGCUCCUUUCCCAACAUGAAGCACAGGAGCAUUUAUAUAGAUGAACUGUCCCUUUAAAUAUUUCUUCUAUACUUUAACUGUCCCUUUAAAUAUUUAUAUUUUAUUUUGAAUGUCUGACUGAAGACCUGGACCAGCAUUUCUAAUCGCAGCAUUGUUAUCUGUGUGUGUGUGUGUGUGUGUGUGUGUGUGUUUACCUUCAUAGUGUCUUCAGCUGGUUUUUCUGUUGAAAAGACAGAAGAAAAAAGAUGUUUGUUUUCAUCAUAUGACUAAAAAUCAAUGUAGACAGAGUGUGUCACCUUCACUGAGCUACAGGAGACGUACAGGUGUACUGCAGUGACAUCACCGUGACAUCACCGCUGGCUGUCGGUCUUUACCUACAGAGAACUGUCAGUAACACGCACCUCCCAUCAGCUGCUGCUGGGCGGGGCCAUCUCUGAGGGGGGCGGAGUCUCCAUCCAUCAUCAUUCCUACAGAUCUGCCUCCUCCAGGUCCGCCUGUCAAUCACUCACUCCUCACUGCUCCUCCGUCUGCAACUCGUGCAGCCUGCAGCUUACGGGCCCGCGGAGCGGCAGACGGAUAGAGCGGAUAGACAGACAGGUGAGAGACAGACAGACAGACAAACAGGUGAGAGACAGACAGGUGGUGUCUCUGUGUCUUACCUCUGCUGCAGCCUCUGUCUGCUGUCUGCUGCUCCACCCUGCUGCCGCUCUGUGAGGGGGGGUUACUACUGCUGCAUGCUGGGAGAGGAGGUUGCUGUUACCAUGUUUUGGAAUCCUUCCCCUGGAGCCCAGCCCUGGAGACCCCACAUAUAUACAGAACAUAUCUGUGAGAAAGCUCCCAUAUUGUUCUUCUGUUUCUGUCCUCGAACAUCCCAACGAAUCCCAGG